rnacentral:lncRNA from 1 species
CUUUUGGAAUGGGGACAGCAUAUAUGUAAGAUGUAGCUGCUAGAGUUUCCCGGUAUCAUGGCGGAUGUGGUUCAGACUACAAACUGCUUCUGUGUGACUAAGAGAAGAAGAAUCAGAGUAAAGAGAAACAUACUCUCUUAAUCUCCGAAGAUUAACGGCAGGAGGAGCUCUAGAAUUUCACAAAGGUGCUGUCAGGACACAUGAAAAUCUAGAGAAAAAGACCAGCUUGAAGAGACCAAAAAGAAGAAAGCCUGCCAAUCACAUCCUCCAGAGAUUCUGAGACACACACACCCCUGGUGUAGGGGGACACCAUCUGAAAGGUGACACCCAUUCUACGGAAUAUAAGUACCAGCUAAAGAGGACACACACUUGAAGAAAAAGGAGACAAUGAGGUCUUGUGAAUGCUCUAAUUUUUCAAAGCUUACUUUUAAUGAUGGUUCUUAAACGCUUUAACCUCCCUUCUAGUCCACCACCCACCAAAGGUAGUGAAAAGAAAGGUGAUUAGGAUACAGGCGAAGUGAACCUGUUCAGACAUGGUUCUUUGGUGCACAACCUAGCAGGAACAUCCAGGUCUCAGUGGAAUCAGCUCAAAUCAGCAUGAAGAAUUAGGACCAUUAGGAGUUCCAGGAGAAGCUCUCAGCUCUGCCUCUCUGGACAAAUCGAUGAUCAGGAAAGACAAAAGCGCGAGAAGCGUUGCAGAGUUAGCUGUACAAGCUAGCCUCUCUCACGGUCUGUUGAGUCCUAUUUAUACUCCCUCCAAACAUCACAUGUCCUCCAUGGGUCUUGCCUCACCGUGUGUCUUACCUCAGCACAUGAAUCUGUCUCAGCUGAUAUCGCUCUGCUAAGCGACCAAGUCGGCAGAAGAGGCAAGAAGCCACCAGCCAUCACCAGAAGGUUUUUGGUGCAUUUCUCUCUGUGGAGUGUCAACAAAUGAAGAUCAACUACACAAUGAAAACACUCCUUCCUGUGUGUGCCCCAGCAAAGCACAAUUCAAUGAAACUGACUUUCUAAAGAAACCAAAAGUUGGGGCUGGAGAGAUGGCUCAGUGGUUAAGAGCACUGACUGCUCUUCAAGAUGUCCUGAGUUCAAUUCCCAGCAACCACAUGGUGGCUCACAACGAUCCAUAAUGAGAUCCAAUGCCCCCUUCUGGUGUAUCUGAAGACAGCUACAGUGUACUCACAUACAUAAAAUAAAUAAAAUCUUGAAAAAAGAAAAAAGAAAGAAAGAA